AGAGUUUGAUCCUGGCUCAGGAUGAACGCUGGCGGCGUGCCUAAUACAUGCAAGUCGAACGAGGUAGCAAUACCUAGUGGCGAACGGGUGAGUAACACGUAGGUAACCUGCCCAUCAGCUUGGGAUACCCUGGCGAAAGCUAGGCUAAUACCGAAUAAUUGGCUCGGAGGCAUCUCUGAGCUCUAAAAGGGGCCUUUAAAGCCCCACUGAAGGAUGGACCUGCGGCGCAUUAGCUAGUUGGUGAGGUAACGGCCCACCAAGGUGAUGAUCCGUAGCCGGCCUGAGAGGGCGACCGGCCACAUUGGGACUGAGACACGGCCCAGACUCCUACGGGAGGCAGCAGUGGGGGAUAUUGCACAAUGGGCGCAAGCCUGAUGCAGCGACGCCGCGUGAAGGAAGAAGUACUUCGGUAUGUAAACUUCUAUCAGCAGGGAAGAAGAUGACGGUACCUGACUAAGAAGCCCCGGCUAACUACGUGCCAGCAGCCGCGGUAAUACGUAGGGGGCAAGCGUUAUCCGGAUUUACUGGGUGUAAAGGGAGCGUAGACGGCUGUGCAAGUCUGAUGUGAAAACCCGCGGCUCAACUGCGGGAUUGCAUUGGAAACUGUAUAGCUUGAGUACUGGAGGGGUAAGCGGAAUUCCUGGUGUAGCGGUGAAAUGCGUAGAUAUCAGGAGGAACACCGGCGGCGAAGGCGGCUUACUGGACAGUAACUGACGUUGAGGCUCGAAAGCGUGGGGAGCAAACAGGAUUAGAUACCCUGGUAGUCCACGCCGUAAACGGUGAGCACUAGCUGUUGGGUCCGAAUGGAUUCAGGUGGCGCAGUUAACGCAAUAAGUGCUCCGCCUGGGGAGUACGGUGGCAACACUAAAACUCAAAGGAAUUGACGGGGACCCGCACAAGCAGCGGAGCAUGUGGUUUAAUUCGAAGCAACGCGAAAAACCUUACCAAGGCUUGACAUCCUUCUGACAGGGCCUUAACCGGCCUCUUCUUCGGACAGAAGUGACAGGUGGUGCAUGGUUGUCGUCAGCUCGUGUCGUGAGAUGUUGGGUUAAGUCCCGCAACGAGCGCAACCCUUGUCGUUAGUUACUAACAUUCAGUUGAGAACUCUAGCGAGACUGCCGAGGUUAACUCGGAGGAAGGUGGGGAUGACGUCAAAUCAUCAUGCCCCUUAUGUCUUGGGCUACACACGUGCUACAAUGGUCGGUACAAUGGGAAGCAAUACAGCGAUGUGGAGCAAAUCACCAAAACCGAUCCCAGUUCGGAUUGUAGGCUGCAACUCGCCUACAUGAAGUCGGAGUUGCUAGUAAUCGUGGAUCAGCAUGCCACGGUGAAUGUGUUCCCGGGUCUUGCACACACCGCCGGUCA
rnacentral:rRNA from 1 species